rnacentral:lncRNA from 1 species
CUAUGCUUAAAGAUAGAGAAGAAUAAAUAUACUUUUGGUUCUGUUGGUGUUUUCCACCAACAGGACUCAUGCACUUGAUCUCUGCCUUGUCUCUAUGAGCAGAUACACUUCGAGCAAAAUAUGGAGGAGUUUUACAACUCCCAGACUCCACCAAGUGAAGGACCUGGAUCUACGAGCACAAACACACUUAGCAAGAUACUGCCAACGCCGCACUUCGAACUGCUGGGCAAACGAAGAACAAGGGUGACACCGUAUUAAGAGGUGCAAACGUCAAGGUCCACACAUGAAUCAAAUGACGCACCUAAAGAAUGAACAAGGUGAGAAGUCUUGUUCAGAAGACUUAAAACAUUGAACCCUUGCCGAAAGGUAAAAUCGGUAGUUAUCCAUAUUUAUCCUUUCUGCAUUUCCUUUUCCCUUAAAUUAUUUACUUUCCUUAAAUGGCUUGUUAGUUAAUCAUGCUAUCUUGAAAAGAAAAUAAAAAUGUUAAAAAUAGUAAGCCCCAUAUGAGUAUGCUCGUGGCAUAA